GGGAGCACGUCUCCUCUCAUGAGCCGGUCACCAGCACCCUCCGUGAGCCACGCGUCACACACAAAGCUGCACAGUCUGCGUGAGCAGGCAUGUGGGCAUGCCUCCCACGAACCGGGGCCGUGGUCCACACAGAGCAUGGUCCUCUUGCUGCUCCUGCAGUCACAGCCCGCGUGCCGUCAGGACAGGGUCGUUGCGAGCGGAGCUGAUGCUGUUCUUGGCCGACAAGCGGGAGAGAGUCAUGGCAGCAUUGAGAAUAGGCUGUGCCAGAUGGAGGCCCAACUGGAGGAGAAGAACAAGGAGCUGCACCUACCCCACUUGGGCAGUGCCCUGGACCUCAAGUUCCUGGUGGCAGACCGGCCGGCAGACUACUCAGGAGAUGGGGCAGUGCUGCGAUGCCUCCAGAAAGGCCAGCUGGCAGCGCUGCAUGAUGAGCCACCAGAAGCAAGGACCCCGCUGCCCCCUUCCCGUCCCUGGUGGGCACCUUGUGAGGCACCUGCCCCCUCACACUGUGCUCCUGAGGUUGAUCGAAGAAGAGAAGGAGAACACGGAGCAGAGGGCCGAGGAGACUGAGAGCAGGGAGGGCAGGGGGAGCUUAGGCAGCCUCCGUCGUUUUAAAUCAGUGAGCUCCCUCAACCUGCUUCCCGCCUCCUUGCAUACUGGCUCCUGUCUGCUCCUGCCCAAGCCCAAAAGGAGGUGGCACAGCCCGGCACAGGAGUGAGACCGGCUGGGCAUCAUGACUCUGGUAUGUUUCUGCCUCCUCCCUGCCGCAUCCCUCCCCCAGCAAACUGGUUUUUUUGUUUGUUUGUUUUUUCUCUUUAUACCCAGAAGAAAAUCAAGUACAUUUGCUACACUCAGAGGUUUAAAAGUUUUUAAACUGCCUAGUCUUUAAUCAUUCCACAAUGGCACAGCAAUAAAUUAGUCUUGAUAUUUGGACCA
rnacentral:lncRNA from 1 species